GCUUACACAUGCAAGUCGAACGAAAAUACCAAGCUUGCUUGGUUGAUUAGUGGCGAACGGGUGAGUAACACGUGAGUAACCUGCCCCUUACUUUCUGGAUAACUGCUCGAAAGGGUAGCUAAUACGGGAUAUUCUGACCAUCCUGCAUGGGUUGGUUUGGAAAGGUUUUUUCUGGUGAGGGAUGGGCUCGCGGCCUAUCAGCUUGUUGGUGGGGUGAUGGCCUACCAAGGCUUUGACGGGUAGCCGGCCUGAGAGGGUGGACGGUCACACUGGGACUGAGAUACGGCCCAGACUCCUACGGGAGGCAGCAGUGGGGAAUAUUGCACAAUGGGCGCAAGCCUGAUGCAGCGACGCCGCGUGAGGGAUGAAGGCCUUCGGGUUGUAAACCUCUUUCGUCAGGGAACAAGGCAUUGCCUUUUUUGGUGGUGUUGAGGGUACCUGGAUAAGAAGCGCCGGCUAACUACGUGCCAGCAGCCGCGGUAAUACGUAGGGCGCAAGCGUUGUCCGGAAUUAUUGGGCGUAAAGAGCUCGUAGUCGGCUGGUCGCGUCUGUCGUGAAAACUUCCGGCUCAACCGGGGGCUUGCGGUGGGUACGGGCCGGCUAGAGUGCGGUAGGGGUAACUGGAACUCCUGGUGUAGCGGUGGAAUGCGCAGAUAUCAGGAAGAACACCGAUGGCGAAGGCAGGUUACUGGGCCGUUACUGACGCUGAGGAGCGAAAGCGUGGGGAGCGAACAGGAUUAGAUACCCUGGUAGUCCACGCUGUAAACGUUGGGCACUAGGUGUGAGGCUCCUU
rnacentral:rRNA from 1 species